ACCGGAGCUAAUACCGGAUAAUAUAUUGAACCGCAUGGUUCAAUAGUGAAAGACGGUUUUGCUGUCACUUAUAGAUGGAUCCGCGCCGCAUUAGCUAGUUGGUAAGGUAACGGCUUACCAAGGCAACGAUGCGUAGCCGACCUGAGAGGGUAAUCGGCCACACUGGAACUGAGACACGGUCCAG
rnacentral:rRNA from 1 species